rnacentral:rRNA from 1 species
GACGAACGCUGGCGGCGUGCUUAACACAUGCAAGUCGAACGGAAAGGCCUGCUUUCCCUUGUGGAUUGCGGGUACUCGAGUGGCGAACGGGUGAGUAACACGUGAGUGAUCUGCCCCCAACUUGGGUAUAAGCCUGGGAAACUGGGUCUAAUUCCCGAUAGGACUGCAGGGUGGUGCCUGUGGUGGAAAACGAUUUUCUGGUGGUUGGGGAUGAGCUCGCGGCCUAUCAGCUUGUUGGUGGGGUAAUGGCCUACCAAGGCGGCGACGGGUAGCCGGCCUGAGAGGGUGGACGGCCACAUUGGGACUGAGAUACGGCCCCGACUCCUACGGGAGGCAGCAGUGGGGAAUAUUGCACAAUGGGCGGAAGCCUGAUGCAGCGACGCCGCGUGGGGGAUGACGGCCUUCGGGUUGUAAACUCCUUUCGACCGCGAGGAAGCCACCUGGUUGGAAGGGUGGUGACGGUAGUGGUAGAAGAAGCACCGGCUAACUACGUG